GGAGACUUGACAAGCAUCCUUUUCUUCCACGUUAUCAGAGUGCCUGUGCCCCCCUCAAAAGCUCUGAGUGUGCUAGCCAGCAAUACAUCAACGGACUACUGAGGAGACCCCCAUAACAGUUAAUCAGGGAGACAGACCAGCAGACAGUGAUUGCUUUUACUAUUGCUGUAUCUGUGUGACAGGGAGACAGACAGACUGACUGAUAGGGAGACAGACAGACAGACUGACUGAUAGGGAGACAGACAGACAGACUGACUGACUGAUAGGGAGACAGACAGACAGACUGACUGAUAGGGAGACAGACAGACUGACUGACUGAUAGGGAGACAGACAGACUGACUGACUGAUAGGGAGACAGACAGACUGACUGAUAGGGAGACAGACAGACUGACUGAUAGGGAGACAGACAGACAGACUGACUGAUGAGGGACAGACAGAUAGGGAGACAGACAGACUGACUGAUAGGGAGACAGACAGACAGACUGACUGAUAGGGAGACAGACAGACAGACUGACUGAUAGGGAGACAGACAGACUGACUGAUAGGGAGACAGACAGACAGACUGACUGAUAGGGAGACAGACAGAC